CCGUGACUCGGAUAGGAAUAGUGGCUGGGUUCUGAGGGCUGGGGAGGCGCCCCGCCAGAAUUGGCGGCCCCACUCUUGACUCCCUGCCUUACUCCUACCGACGAUCCGAAAUCUAAGAGCAAAAAGGCAAGAAAGGACCGGUCGACCCCUUAAAUUUUGUGCACAAAGGUCCGGACGAAGACGCAGGACGCGGAGUUCUGCGAAGACAAUAGAGUAAAACAGUCGAACAGAAGAAACCAAUUCUCUGGUGAAGAAACCUCAGCCCAUCUGGAGAAGCUAAAUGGUUGAGGCAUGGUUUGAACACCUGCCUUUUGCUGUACAGUGAGUGAUUAAUAGGAUUUGUAACAGCAUUAAUCUUGUCGCUAAUUUUGUAUUUUUUGUGGAAAGUUGUGAAGUGUGGAAAAGGGGUUUGUAUCUAUGGAUAAAAAGGAAUGAAAAUUAUGGUUAGGACUCUGAAAGACGAACUGAUUAGAUACUUUAAUAGAAUGUUAAGUGGAGUCAACCUACCAAGUCUGCCCUGAAUACAACGGGUAUACGGCUGUAAGGGUUGGCCGAUUGUUGAAAAGGCCCUGGAAUCAAACUCCUGAGAUACUCUGUGGACAAGUGCCUGGAUUGCCCCAAGGGAUUCAAUAGUGAACAUAACAGACUGUGAUGGGGAAAGGUUCACCUUCGAGUAGGUCUUCUGCUGCCGAGAAGAUAAAAACCCCUGUCACUGGCUGCAACCCAGUUGACAGGCGAGGCAGAGAAGGACCUCGGGUGAAGGGACGAUACUUGACCCCAAAGACAAUCAUUUUGGUCUGUGCAUCUAUUCUACUCCCGGGGGUACGGGCCAAUAAUCCACACGAGCCCAUGAUAUGGGAAUUAUUCAACAUACAACAACCAGACCAACCCUUGAAAAGCUGUAAAAAUCAAACCCACGUGAAUUUUACCGUUUCUUUAAGAGAUUUAAUUACGGGACACCGAAGAGAUAGGGCGGAUAAUUGUAUGGGAUUUUAUGUUUGCCCCGCUUCAAAUAGAGGGAGAAAUUAUUGUAAUUUGCCAAAUCAUUACUACUGUGGAUAUUGGGGAUGUGAAACAUGGGCAUCUGAAUGGACUGCAACUAUCAAAGACCCAGAUAUACAGGUGGAAUGGUUCCCUCCUGGGUGCAAACGACCCACCAUAGGAAGAGAUGGGCACGUUUACGGACACUGUGAGGCUGGCGGAUACUGUAAAGAAAUUAAUAUAAAGGUUCAGAAGCCCACGAACAAUAGUUGGUUGGUUGGAAGAAUGUGGGGAGUUCGAUUUUGGGAACCAGGUCCAGACAGGGGUGGUAUAUUUAGAAUAGCAAAGAGAAGCAUGCCACAUGAUUCCCCACUGCCUAUAGG